AGGGUCCAGUUUUGGUGCUAAAGGGCCACAGCACCCAACCAGGCUCGUGGUCAGACCUGCCUAUCAACAUCUGUGGGGCCUACCCUAUGAGCUACAAUGGUGGUAGUUCCAACGCUGGUCUGUGAGCUCCCUACGGGUGGAUAUUACUAAAAUACAGUGGGAUAUAGAAAUAUUUGAUUGCUACUAUAUUCCUUCUAGUUUAUUGUGAAACUAAAAUCAGGUACGUGGCACCAAAAAAAG